AACGAACGCUGGCGGCAGGCUUAACACAUGCAAGUCGAACGCCUGGAGCAAUCCAGGAGUGGCAGACGGGUGAGUAACACGUGGGAACAUACCCUUUGGUACGGAACAACUCGGGGAAACUCGAGCUAAUACCGUAUACGGCCGAGAGGCGAAAGAUUGAUCGCCGAAGGAUUGGCCCGCGUCCGAUUAGCUAGUUGGUGAGGUAAUGGCUCACCAAGGCGACGAUCGGUAGCUGGCUGAGAGGAUGGCCAGCCACAUUGGGACUGAGACACGGCCCAAACUCCUACGGGAGGCAGCAGUGGGGAAUAUUGGGACAAUGGGCGCAAGCCUGAUCCAGCCAUGCCGCGUGAGUGAUGAAGGCCUUAGGUUGUAAAGCUCUUUCGUCAGGGACGAUAAUGACGGUACCUGAAGAAGAAGCCCCGGCUAACUUCGUGCCAGCAG
rnacentral:rRNA from 1 species